rnacentral:rRNA from 1 species
GACGAACGCUGGCGGCGUGCUUAACACAUGCAAGUCGAACGGAAAGGCCCUGCUUUUGUGGGGUGCUCGAGUGGCGAACGGGUGAGUAACACGUGAGUAACCUGCCCUUGACUUUGGGAUAACUUCAGGAAACUGGGGCUAAUACCGGAUAGGAGCUCCUGCUGCAUGGUGGGGGCUGGAAAGUUUCGGCGGUUGGGGAUGGACUCGCGGCUUAUCAGCUUGUUGGUGGGGUAGUGGCUUACCAAGGCUUUGACGGGUAGCCGGCCUGAGAGGGUGACCGGCCACAUUGGGACUGAGAUACGGCCAAGACUCCUACGGGAGGCAGCAGUGGGGAAUAUUGCACAAUGGGCGGAAGCCUGAUGCAGCAACGCCGCGUGCGGGAUGACGGCCUUCGGGUUGUAAACCGCUUUCGCCUGUGACGAAGCGUGAGUGACGGUAAUGGGUAAAGAAGCACCGGCUAACUACGUG